rnacentral:rRNA from 1 species
GACGAACGCUGGCGGCGUGCUUAACACAUGCAAGUCGAACGGAAAGGCCCUGCUUUUGUGGGGUGCUCGAGUGGCGAACGGGUGAGUAACACGUGAGUAACCUGCCCUUGACUUUGGGAUAACUUCAGGAAACUGGGGCUAAUACCGGAUAGGAGCUCCUGCUGCAUGGUGGGGGUUGGAAAGUUUCGGCGGUUGGGGAUGGACUCGCGGCUUAUCAGCUUGUUGGUGGGGUAGUGGCUUACCAAGGCUUUGACGGGUAGCCGGCCUGAGAGGGUGACCGGCCACAUUGGGACUGAGAUACGGCCCAGACUCCUACGGGAGGCAGCAGUGGGGAAUAUUGCACAAUGGGCGGAAGCCUGAUGCAGCAACGCCGCGUGCGGGAUGACGGCCUUCGGGUUGUAAACCGCUUUCGCCUGUGACGAAGCGUGAGUGACGGUAAUGGGUAAAGAAGCACCGGCUAACUACGUGCCAGCAGCCGCGGUGAUACGUAGGGUGCGAGCGUUGUCCGGAUUUAUUGGGCGUAAAGGGCUCGUAGGUGGUUGAUCGCGUCGGAAGUGUAAUCUUGGGGCUUAACCCUGAGCGUGCUUUCGAUACGGGUUGACUUGAGGAAGGUAGGGGAGAAUGGAAUUCCUGGUGGAGCGGUGGAAUGCGCAGAUAUCAGGAGGAACACCAGUGGCGAAGGCGGUUCUCUGGGCCUUUCCUGACGCUGAGGAGCGAGAGCGUGGGGAGCGAACAGGCUUAGAUACCCUGGUAGUCCACGCUGUAAACGGUGGGUACUAGGUGUGGGGUCCAUUCCACGGGUUCCGUGCCGUAGCUAACGCUUUAAGUACCCCGCCUGGGGAGUACGGCCGCAAGGCUAAAACUCAAAGGAAUUGACGGGGCCCCGCACAAGCGGCGGAGCAUGCGGAUUAAUUCGAUGCAACGCGUAGAACCUUACCUGGGUUUGACAUGGAUCGGGAGUGCUCAGAGAUGGGUGUGCCUCUUUUGGGGUCGGUUCACAGGUGGUGCAUGGCUGUCGUCAGCUCGUGUCGUGAGAUGUUGGGUUAAGUCCCGCAACGAGCGCAACCCUUGUUCACUGUUGCCAGCACGUUAUGGUGGGGACUCAGUGGAGACCGCCGGGGUCAACUCGGAGGAAGGUGGGGAUGACGUCAAGUCAUCAUGCCCCUUAUGUCCAGGGCUUCACGCAUGCUACAAUGGCUGGUACAGAGAGUGGCGAGCCUGUGAGGGUGAGCGAAUCUCGGAAAGCCGGUCUCAGUUCGGAUUGGGGUCUGCAACUCGACCUCAUGAAGUCGGAGUCGCUAGUAAUCGCAGAUCAGCAACGCUGCGGUGAAUACGUUUCCCGGGGCU